rnacentral:lncRNA from 1 species
UGAAAAAUAAAUAGUUAUUUUUUUAAUGACAUUUUCCAAUCAUUGGCUGAUUACUGCCAAAUGGAGUCUACUCCAGCUCAAUUAUCUAUCCAUAGCUAUUGUAGACUCAAUAGGAUAUUAUCAUAGAUGGAUCAACACCCAGGCUGGAUCCAUCAAAAAGUUCCUGAUGCAUGAAAUUUGGACAUUUGAAUUAAUUUAUUAUAGGUGGUCCUCGAAUUUCAUGCAGUUUUCUAUUUUGUACAUAUUUAAAAAUUAAUUUUUAUUCCAAAAACACAGAUACCUCUUUGUAGCCACUCACCCCUUCUCUCCAUCAUUAGUCCCACCCCAUUUCCAUUGUCACAAGUUUAGUCUUGAGUUAGGACGUAUGUUGUUAUGUUGUGUGUUGUAAAAUAAAUACACUUUAAAAACAUGCUUUCUUUUACAUCGCUCUACUUUCGUACACGUUUCGG